rnacentral:rRNA from 1 species
CUAAGUACCUGAAGGAAGAGAAAGAAAUUCGAUUCCGUAAGUAGCGGCGAGCGAACGCGGAUUAGCCCAAACCAAUAAAGUUUUCUUUAUUGGGGUUGCGGACAUAUCAUAACGAAGAGGUAUCGUAAUUGAAGAGGUUUGGAAAGACCCACCACAGAAGGUAAUAGUCCUGUAUGUUAAACGAGAAGACUUCAGAUAUGAUCCAGAGUACCACGGGACACGUGAAACCCUGUGGGAAGCAGGAGGGACCACCCUCCAAGGCUAAAUACUACCUAGUGACCGAUAGCGUAUAGUACCGUGAGGGAAAGGUGAAAAGAACCCCGGGAGGGGAGUGAAAUAGAACCUGAAACCCUGCACUUACAAGCUGUGGAAGCACAUUUCUUGUGUGACCGCGUACUUUUUGUAGAACGGGCCAACGAGUUACGUUAAGUAGCAAGGUUAAGCACUUAAGGUGUGGAGCCGUAGCGAAAGCGAGUUUUAACUGAGCGUUCAGUUACUUGACGUAGACCCGAAACCGGGCGACCUACCCAUGAGCAGGAUGAAGCGAAAGUAAAAUUUCGUGGAGGUCCGAACCCACGAGCGUUGAAAAGCUCGGGGAUGACUUGUGGGUAGCGGUGAAAUUCCAAUCGAGCCCGGAGAUAGCUGGUUCUCCCCGAAAUAGCUUUAGGGCUAGCCUCAAGGUGAGAGAUACGGAGGUAGAGCACUGAAUGUCCUAGGGGGUAUUGCACCUACCGAAGACUAUCAAACUCCGAAUGCCGUCAUCUUAUACUUGGGAGUCAGACUGUGGGUGAUAAGAUUCAUAGUCGAAAGGGCAACAGCCCAGAUCGUCAGCUAAGGUCCCUAAAUGUAAGUUAAGUGGUAAAGGAUGUGGGAUUGCACAGACAACCAGGAUGUUGGCUUAGAAGCAGCCACUCAUUCAAAGAGUGCGUAAUAGCUCACUGGUCGAGUGAUCCUGCGCCGAAGAUUUCCGGGGCUAAAACUUACUACCGAAGCUACGGCAUCAGUAAUGAUGGGUAGGGGAGCUUCCCAUACGGGUUGAAGCAUGACCGUAAGGACAUGUGGACAGUAUGGGAGUGAGAAUGUUGGCAUGAGUAGCGAGAUGUGGGUGAGAAUCCCACAGGCCGUAAACCCAAGGUUUCCAGGGGAAGGUUCGUCCGCCCUGGGUUAGUCGGGACCUAAGCUGAGGCCGAAAGGCGUAGGUGAUGGACAACAGGUUGAUAUUCCUGUACUACCGAUAACCGUUUGAGAGAAGGGAUGACACAGUAGGAUAAGCUAAGCACACUGUUGGUUAUGUGUGCCCAAGCAUUGAGGCAGUCAAAGUAGGCAAAUCCGCUUUGAUAAUGCUGGGAUGUGAUGGGGAGCGAAAUUUAGUAGCGAAGUAGCUGAUUUCACACUGUCAAGAAAAGUCUCUAUCGAGGUUAAAGGUACCCGUACCGCAAACCGACACAGGUGGGUGAGGAGAGUAUCCUAAGGCCAGCGAGAGAACUGUUGUUAAGGAACUCGGCAAAAUGACCCCGUAACUUAGGGAUAAGGGGUGCCACCAUCAGGUGGCCGCAGAGAAUAGGCCCAAGCGACUGUUUACCAAAAACAUAGGUUUCUGCUAAGUCGCAAGACGAUGUAUAGGAGCUGACGCCUGCCCGGUGCUGGAAGGUUAAGGGGAUCUGUUAGAGCAAUCGAAGCAGUGAACUUAAGCCCCAGUAAACGGCGGCCGUAACUAUAACGGUCCUAAGGUAGCGAAAUUCCUUGUCGGGUAAGUUCCGACCCGCACGAAAGGCGUAACGAUUUGGGCACUGUCUCAACAACAGACUCGGUGAAAUUGUAAUUCCGGUGAAGAUGCCGGAUACCUGCGACAGGACGGAAAGACCCCAUGGAGCUUUACUGUAGCUUGACAUUGGGUCUUGGUACUACAUGUACAGGAUAGGUGGGAGGCUUUGAAACCAGGACGCCAGUUUUGGCGGAGCCAUCCUUGGGAUACCACCCUUGUAGUACUGGGACUCUAACCAUAGGCCAUGAAUCUGGUCUUGGGACACUGUCAGGUGGGCAGUUUGACUGGGGCGGUCGCCUCCCAAAAGGUAACGGAGGCGCUCAAAGGUUCUCUCAGUACGGUCGGAAAUCGUACGUAGAGUGUAAAGGCAAAAGAGAGCUUGAUUGCAAGACAUACAGGUCGAGCAAGGAUGAAAAUCGGACUUAGUGAUCCGGUGGUUCUGCGUGGAAGGGCCAUCGCUCAACGGAUAAAAGCUACCCUGGGGAUAACAGGCUUAUCUCCCCCAAGAGUCCACAUCGACGGGGAGGUUUGGCACCUCGAUGUCGGCUCAUCACAUCCUGGGGCUGUAGUAGGUCCCAAGGGUUGGGCUGUUCGCCCAUUAAAGUGGUACGCGAGCUGGGUUCAGAACGUCGUGAGACAGUUCGGUCCCUAUCCGUCGCAGGCGUAGGAAAUUUGAGAAGACCUGUCCUUAGUACGAGAGGACCGGGAUGGACGUACCUCUGGUGUACCAGUUGUUCUGCCAAGGGCAUGGCUGGGUAGCUAUGUACGGAAUGGAUAAGCGCUGAAAGCAUCUAAGCGCGAAGCCAACUUCAAGAUAAGAUUUCCCACCGCAAGGGUAAGACCCCAGAAAGACUAUCUGGUUGAUAGGUCGAAGGUGUAAGUGCAGCAAUGUAUUUAGCUUAUCGAUACUAAUAGGUCGAGGACUUGACCAA